CCAAGGAGAAAAGUCCUUCCCUGGAGAAUGCUGUGGCUGGAUGUGUGUUGUUGCCUGGGGAGCCAAGACUGACCACACCUUACUGAUAAUCACAGAAUGGAGAAAGGAGAGAAAGAGAAGACAUUUUAUAGAUAUUGCAGUGCCUGGGGAAAAAAGGACCCAAAGAACUUCACCAGAACAUGAACACCUCAGAUUAUUUCAAUACAAGAAAAUAGCUGCAGCUGGAAAUUUGAUAUUAAUUUGAAUUAAUGGGUAGAAAUCAAAGCAGCACCCACAACCACCAGAAAACACCUUGUGCCAACUGGUAAGUGAAUAAAAUUCCUCUCUGGUCAUAA